rnacentral:rRNA from 1 species
GACGAACGCUGGCGGCGUGCUUAACACAUGCAAGUCGAACGGAAAGGCCCUGCUUUUGUGGGGUGCUCGAGUGGCGAACGGGUGAGUAACACGUGAGUAACCUGCCCUUGACUUUGGGAUAACUUCAGGAAACUGGGGCUAAUACCGGAUAGGAGCUCCUGCUGCAUGGUGGGGGUUGGAAAGUUUCGGCGGUUGGGGAUGGACUCGCGGCUUAUCAGCUUGUUGGUGGGGUAGUGGCUUACCAAGGCUUUGACGGGUAGCCGGCCUGAGAGGGUGACCGGCCACAUUGGGACUGAGAUACGGCCCAGACUCCUACGGGAGGCAGCAGUGGGGAAUAUUGCACAAUGGGCGGAAGCCUGGUGCAGCAACGCCGCGUGCGGGAUGACGGCCUUCAGGUUGUAAACCGCUUUCGCCUGUGACGAAGCGUGAGUGACGGUAAUGGGUAAAGAAGCACCGGCUAACUACGUG